GGAGUGGACCGGGUGGUCGCCGGUCCCUCGGGGGACGGGAGGAAAGUCCGGGCUCCGCAGGACAGGGUGGUCGGUAACACCGACCGGUCGCAAGGCCAGGGAAAGUGCAGCAGAAAGUAAACCGCCCAAAAUUUGGGUAAGGGUGAAACGGUGCGGUAAGAGCGCACCAGCAGGCAGGGUGACUUGUCUGGCUAGGUAAACCCCACUCGGAGCAAGGCCAAACAGAGAGCAAGUCCACCUUCGGGCGGACUGCGGAUUAGUCCGAUCCGUUAUGACUCUCGGGUAGGCUGCAAGAGGUGGCAAGCAAUUGCCACCCUAGAUAAAUGGCUACCGCCCUGUUUGCGAAUGUCGCUGACAGGGAACAGAACUCGGCUUAUAGGUCCACUCCGCAA
rnacentral:RNase_P_RNA from 1 species